GUGCCUGUAGCUCAAUGGAUAGAGCGGCAGACUACGGAUCUGUAGGUUGGUGGUUCAACUCCACUCAGGCACACUA
rnacentral:tRNA from 2 species